GAUGAACGCUGGCGGCGUGCCUAAUACAUGCAAGUCGAGCGAAUGGAUUGAGAGCUUGCUCUUAUGAAGUUAGCGGCGGACGGGUGAGCAACACGUGGGUAACCUGCCCAUAAGACUGGGAUAACUCCGGGAAACCGGGGCUAAUACCGGAUAACAUUUUGAACCGCAUGGUUCGAAAUUGAAAGGCGGCUUCGGCUGUCACUUAUGGAUGGACCCGCGUCGCAUUAGCUAGUUGGUGAGGUAACGGCUCACCAAGGCAACGAUGCGUAGCCGACCUGAGAGGGUGAUCGGCCACACUGGGACUGAGACACGGCCCAGUCUCCUACGGGAGGCAGCAGUAGGGAAUCUUCCGCAAUGGACGAAAGUCUGACGGAGCAACGCCGCGUGAGUGAUGAAGGCUUUCGGGUCGUAAAACUCUGUUGUUAGGGAAGAACAAGUGCUAGUUGAAUAAGCUGGCACCUUGACGGUACCUAACCAGAAGGCCACGGCUAACUACGUGCCAGCCGCCGCCGUAA
rnacentral:rRNA from 1 species